CCUAGAAAUGGGGAAACUGAGGCAGAGGCGGAGGGCAGAGUGCCCAGGCCCCUCUGGGAAGGUCCCUGGACACCGGUGGGUGGAGCUGUCUCGGCUGUUGGGGAAGAAUAUGUUUUCAAUAGUCUCUCCUAAGGGUGGGGGACAUGGCUGGGGAGGAGGAAGGUUGCUCCAGCCCCAAGGGGCCCAGGGGCGGGCGGAGGAAGGGGAGGGAGAGGCGGCUUUGAAACCCUGCCGGUGCAACCGCAGCUUGAUGAGGGCAGUGUUGUAGUUACACUUUUUUAAUUAAGUGAAUAAUUAAAAAGAAGUUGAUUAUCAAUUAGCUAAUUAAAUAAUCCAUUUUACUUUCAUAUUCCCGCUUUUCCUCUAUUUUUUUCUUCCUUGUAUUUUUCUCUUUUUUUUUUUUCCUUUUUUUUUCUUUUUUGGUUAAUCACUGUGGCCGCGGUAAUGAGCCGCCUCGGGUUGCCAAGCAACCGGCUCCCAGUUAAACAGGCGCAGCUGCCUCCGUCAGCGCCCUGACGGCAGCGGGGGAGGGGCGGGUCCUCGGAAGCCCCUUCUGCGCGGCGCCCAAUGACACCCUUGGCAGACACGCCCGGCGGUGGGGGAUGGGGUGGUCCACGCCCUCCACGCGCUCCAGGCCCUGAGGGUCCGGGGGGUGCGGCCCGCCUUCCCUUUCCGCCCCUCUGACCCCAUCCGAGCUGCCUUGCGCGCAUCGGUGCUGCGGGCCUCAGUUUCCCCGCUGCUAGGGCUGGGAUCCCGCGGCCGCAAGGACCGGCUGAGAGCUCCGGGCGCUGUGCUGGGGGCGGGAGGGAGGCGGCCCUGGGGCCUGCCCGCGCCCCACGCCGGGGCCCGGGAGGGACACACGCCCAGCGGGACCCCUGAGCCCUCAGGCUGGGGACCGGGAGGGGCUCCGGGGAGGCUGGUGAGGCCAGGACGGAGCCACCCCCACCCGUAGCGGUGAAGCGGGAGAGGCGUUUGGUCCCCAGAUGUCGUGUGGGAUUCGUGGCUUCCACCCACGGCUUCUCAACCAAAAACGCGUUGUCACCGCGGCUCUUAACCCUGGGCAAGCCACGGAGCGUUUCUUCCCGGGAUGGGGCCGCGGCUUGAACCGGCAUCUGCAGAAGGAAGACCCGGCCCUGUAGGCCGCCGCCGCCCCAGGACGGGACUGGUGGCCUCUCCACGUCGUGCCCGGACCUGACACAUUGCCUCCAACGGGAAAAAAGCGGAACAGCGGUGCCCUCGCCUGCCCACCCUGCCCGGCGCUGGAGGCACCAGGCCGGCCCAAUUCCGAGAGGCUGAACUUCGCAAUUAUCACGGAUAACAAGAAUAAAUGAAAAAGCACUCA